rnacentral:lncRNA from 1 species
UACGUAACAACUUAAAGAAUAUUAAUGAUUUUUGAGAUAAAAUAAAGUUCUGAUAAAAUUUAUCAUUGACUUUGUUUCAUAAACGUCAUGAUCAAUACAAACAUUACUGAUUAAUAUUUUAGUCUUAGAUACAUUAUUGUUUUAUUUGUUGUUUUUUGGCUUUAAUAGUGGACGGUUACUGCAAGUACUUCAUAUCUGUCCGUCUUGUUCAAUUUUUUUGUGUGAAUAUAUAAAUAU